rnacentral:lncRNA from 1 species
GGACGAGUGUGAGAACCAUGAGUUACUUAGAGGCGUGUGGCCAAGAGGCGACCUUCCGGAUUUGACACAAAACUCUGCCCUCUCCAGUGAGGUGACAGUUCACUCACCUGUGUGCGCCUUUGUUCCCUCAUCCGGGUCUUGAUGAGGAUCAGAAUGAGGAAUGUUUAUAAGGGCACACAAUGAAUGUAGAUAAGUUCUUAUGAAAAAGAAUUUGAGUUUUAUGUGCCUACAAUAUGCUACAAUUCUCAGUGUAAAGUGGGACAGAGAACGCUUUCCGUUCCUUCUUGGAAAGUUCUAGUCCAAGUACCACGUGGUGUCACAACAGAAGUCUUCAGUCAACAGCUUGGAGGGAACCGCAGGUCUGCACCAUCUCCAUCUCCACGGUUCUGAUGGGAACCCUGAUUAUCAAGUCACAGAGCCAGUGAGUAAGUGAGCCAGGAUCUGCACCGUCUCCUGUGCGUUUACUGCUUCAUUCUGUUGCUACAGACUGCAGUCCUGACGCAGGGGCAGCCCCGUGCUGGGGCUGAGAAGGCGGUUCUGGACAGGACGACAGCAGCGCCUGUCCUCGCGGAGUUUGCCCUGGGGGUGAUGGUAGAUAAAAGUCAAGAACAAAGACAGAUCCAGCGGUUUCCCAAGUUACAAC